rnacentral:rRNA from 1 species
UGCAGUCGAACGGCAGCGGGGGCUUCGGCCUGCCGGCGAGUGGCGAACGGGUGAGUAAUGCGUAGGAAUCUGCCUGGUAGUGGGGGACAACGUGGGGAAACUCACGCUAAUACCGCAUACGCCCUGAGGGGGAAAGCGGGGGCUCUUCGGACCUCGCGCUAUCAGAUGAGCCUGCGUUGGAUUAGCUAGUUGGUAGGGUAAAGGCCUACCAAGGCGACGAUCCAUAGCUGGUCUGAGAGGACGAUCAGCCACACUGGGACUGAGACACGGCCCAGACUCCUACGGGAGGCAGCAGUGGGGAAUUUUGGACAAUGGGCGCAAGCCUGAUCCAGCCAUGCCGCGUGAGUGAAGAAGGCCUUCGGGUUGUAAAGCUCUUUCAGUCGGGAAGAAACGGCGCGCUCUAACAUAGCGUGUUAAUGACGGUACCGACAGAAGAAGCACCGGCUAACUACGUGCCAGCAGCCGCGGUAAUACGUAGGGUGCGAGCGUUAAUCGGAAUUACUGGGCGUAAGGCGUGCGCAGGCGGUUCGCUAAGACAGGUGUGAAAUCCCCGGGCUCAACCUGGGAAUGGCGCUUGUGACUGGCGGGCUAGAGUACGGCAGAGGGGGGUGGAAUUCCACGUGUAGCAGUGAAAUGCGUAGAGAUGUGGAGGAACACCGAUGGCGAAGGCAGCCCCCUGGGCCGAUACUGACGCUCAUGCACGAAAGCGUGGGGAGCAAACAGGAUUAGAUACCCUGGUAGUCCACGCCCUAAACGAUGUCGACUAGUCGUUCGGAGAGGUAACUUUCUGAGUGACGCAGCUAACGCGUGAAGUCGACCGCCUGGGGAGUACGGUCGCAAGAUUAAAACUCAAAGGAAUUGACGGGGACCCGCACAAGCGGUGGAUGAUGUGGAUUAAUUCGAUGCAACGCGAAAAACCUUACCUACCCUUUGACAUGCCUGGAACUUGCCAGAGAUGGCUUGGUGCCUUCGGGAGCCAGGACACAGGUGCUGCAUGGCUGUCGUCAGCUCGUGUCGUGGAGAUGUUGGGGUUAAGUCCCGCAACGAGCGCAACCCUUUGUCGUUAAUUGCCAUCAUUUGAGUUGGGC